CGACAUCCGACCUUGCCUAGCCGGUAUCCUGAGUACGGCGGAACACGAGAAAUUCCGUCGGAAUCCGGGAGGACCAUCUCCCAAGCCUAAAUACUCCCUAGUGACCGAUAGUGAACCAGUACCGUGAGGGAAAGGUGAAAAGAACCCCGGAAGGGGAGUGAAACAGCACCUGAAACCGUGUGCUUACAAGUAGUCAGAGCCCGUUUAUGGGUGAUGGCGUACCUUUUGUAGAAUGGACCGGCGAGUGACGAUGUCAUGCAAGGUUAAGCCGAAGAGGUGGAGCCGCAGCGAAAGCGAGUCUGAAUAGGGCGUUCAGUAUGCCGUCGUCGACCCGAAACCAAGUGACCUACCCAUGUCCAGGGUGAAGGUGCAGUGAAAUGCACUGGAGGCCCGAACCCACGUACGUUGAAAAGUGCGGGGAUGAGGUGUGGGUAGCGGAGAAAUUCCAAUCGAACUUGGAGAUAGCUGGUUCUCUCCGAAAUAGCUUUAGGGCUAGCCUCGGAUAGUGCAUCGCGGAGGUAGAGCGACUGUUUGGACUAGGGGCCCUUAUCGGGUUACCGAAUCCUGAUAAACUCCGAAUGCCGCUUAUGUAGAUCCGGGAGUCACACUGCGAGUGAUAAGAUCCGUAGUGGAAAGGGAAACAGCCCAGACCGUCGGUUAAGGUCCCAAAAUCCUUGUUAAGUGGAAAAGGAUGUGGGGCUGCUCAGACAACUAGGAUGUUGGCUUAGAAGCAGCCAUCAUUUAAAGAGUGCGUAAUAGCUCACUAGUCGAGUGGCCCUGCGCCGAAAAUUUACCGGGGCUAAACAAGGUACCGAAACCACGGAUAGAACCAUUGGUUCUAUGGUAGGAGAGCGUUCUAAGGGCAUUGAAGCAAGAUCGUGAGGACUUGUGGAGCGCUUAGAAGUGAGAAUGCCGGUAUGAGUAGCGAAACACGGGUGAGAAUCCCGUGCACCGAAUGACUAAGGUUUCCUGGGGAAGGCUCGUCCUCCCAGGGUUAGUCGGGACCUAAGCCGAGGCCGAUAGGCGUAGGCGAUGGACAACAGGUAGAGAUUCCUGUACCAGUCUGCUUUGUUUGAACGAUGGAGGGACGCAGGAGGCUAAGAUAUGCACGCUGCUGGAUAUGCGUGCCCAAGCAACAAGUCCGAGUAGGAGUCAAAUGCUUCUAUUCAUACGGAUGAGUUGUGAUGGGGAGGGAACUUAUAGUACCGAAGUAUCUGAUGUCACACUGUCAAGAAAAGCUUCUAGUGAGAAGUAGGCUGCCCGUACCGCAAACCGACACAGGUAGUCGAGGAGAGAAUCCUAAGGUGAUCGAGAGAACUCUCGUUAAGGAACUCGGCAAAAUGACCCCGUAACUUCGGGAGAAGGGGUGCUGACCAUCUGGUCAGCCGCAGUGAAUAGGCCCAAGCGACUGUUUACCAAAAACACAGGUCUCUGCUAAUUCGAAAGAAGAUGUAUAGGGGCUGACACCUGCCCGGUGCUGGAAGGUUAAGAGGAAGGGUUAGCUUCGGCGAAGCUCUGAAUUGAAGCCCCAGUAAACGGCGGCCGUAACUAUAACGGUCCUAAGGUAGCGAAAUUCCUUGUCGGGUAAGUUCCGACCCGCACGAAAGGUGUAACGAUUUGGGCACUGUCUCAACGAGAGACUCGGUGAAAUUAUAGUACCUGUGAAGAUGCAGGUUACCCGCGACAGGACGGAAAGACCCCAUGGAGCUUUACUGUAGUUUGAUAUUGAGUGUCUGUACAGCUUGUACAGGAUAGGUAGGAGCCAAUGAAACCAGGACGCCAGUCUUGGUGGAGGCAAUGGUGGGAUACUACCCUCGCUG
rnacentral:rRNA from 1 species